rnacentral:rRNA from 1 species
AGUGAACGCUGGCGGUAGGCCUAACACAUGCAAGUCGAACGGCAGCACAGUAAGAGCUUGCUCUUACGGGUGGCGAGUGGCGGACCGGUGAGGAAUACAUCGGAAUCUACUUUUUCGUGGGGGAUAACGUAGGGAAACUUACGCUAAUACCGCAUACGACCUACGGGUGAAAGCAGGGGAUCUUCGGACCUUGCGCGAUUGAAUGAGCCGAUGUCGGAUUAGCUAGUUGGCGGGGUAAAGGCCCACCAAGGCGACGAUCCGUAGCUGGUCUGAGAGGAUGAUCAGCCACACUGGAACUGAGACACGGUCCAGACUCCUACGGGAGGCAGCAGUGGGGAAUAUUGGACAAUGGGCGCAAGCCUGAUCCAGCCAUACCGCGUGGGUGGAGAAGGCCUUCGGGUUGUAAAGCCCUUUUGUUGGGAAAGAAAAGCAGCAGGUUAAUACCCCGCUGUUCUGACGGUACCCAAAGAAUAAGCACCGGCUAACUUCGUG